GCAACCCCCGCCCCUGCCACGCGAUGCCCGUACCGCAGCCCCAUGCUCGCUACCCCCUGGUCACCUGUGUUGGGCCCUGGCCUAAACUCGUCUAGGCUGCGACAGUAGAGCGGCGCACCAGCCAAGGGUAGCCGAGUUAGAAACUGAGGUGUUCGUCGUGCUCUUUAGAUGGAGGGUCUGGGGCGGAGAAGGACGAGCUGAUCCAUAGGGUGGAGCUGGAGGUGGCACCUGCGCUGGGAGAAGGACGCCACGGAGGAGUCCGCAUAGGGGCUGCGGCUGUGGCUGCGAACUGUGGCUCAUCCCAUGUGCGCUCUCUUGCUCUGUCCGCGUGACGACCGAGGACCACCGCCCCAACCCUACGACAUAUGCCGAGAGCUUCAUCGGGCCCUUUGCCACUCACCGACAAGCGGCACCCACCAGAUCCAACGAUUGUGGAGGUGUGUCAAAAGUCCUAGGAUGGUGUUUCUCACUUCCAUGGUCAUCAAAGGGGAUGUUGCAUGUGCUUUGGUUGUGGCCCAUGAGUUCGCACAUAGCUGGACUGUCAAUCUGAUUACUACAAGACCAAUGAGGAUUUCUGGCUAAAUGAGGGGUAUCUUCAUCGCAGGGAGCAGCCUCGUCGGGGUCGCCAUCAAGGCGCCUAGGAUCAUGUCCAAGAACUUCAUUAGGGCGAGGUUCACCGUCGUAGUGGAUUCCUUCAUUAAAACAGGUUCAAGGUUUGGAGAAGCAUUUCUAGAGUCAGCUUCAUUUCUUGCGAUAAGACCCCUGUUUGAGGUACGCCCUCUUUGGGUAGUAGCAAUUAAAAGAUGAAUCCAAAAACUACUCUGUGCUUUCAUAUAUGCACAAUUAUUUCUGCAUUUUUGAAUCGUGCUUUUGCUAUGACCAACAUUUGGUAUCUUAAUUAUAGUAGGAGAGAUACAUGGUAACAUAUAACCCAAGCAAAGGAUAAAGUAAUUCCUUUGCUCAAGGACCAAGCUAAAUCAGACGAUAAUAUCAAAGAGCUAUAUAACAGGUGACAUACUUCUAUGGGAUAUGACUACAAAAUCCUCCAGACAAGAGAAGCAAAGUGAUGUUUCAUCUAAUAUUGUUAAUCUACAGCUGGUCUCAGGGAGUCAUAGGCUUCCUGUUAUUGUCUUGCAUUGGUCUGUUGGGUCAGAAGUACAUUCUAAGAAAGGAGGGCAUCUUUUUGUUUAUGGCGGCGAUGAUAUGGGAUCUAAAGAAGUUCUCACGGUUUGCCUAUUUUUUCUUACUCAUCAUUGCAAUUUCUUUUGCUUGCCAUCUUAAAGGCUGCUGUGCAUAGAGUAUGCCUUCUUAGAUUUGCUGCUUUACAAAUUUGGUAAAGUGAAUUCCUAGCUUCCUAAACUGAAAUCAUGGUCACCUGGUUGUGAGCCUGUGACAUGUGUUUAGUGUAGAGACACAGUACUAGCUUGGCAUGGCGAUAGGGCAACACGGGUUUGCAUGAAACAUGAUCAACCAUGAGAGUUUCCUGCAAGUAUAAGAAUUGUUUCCUUAGGCAGGACCCAUGUUGUAGACCCAAACAAUUCUGAAGAUAUUUUUUAGUUCAGGUCUCAGCAUCCAAAUAAUGUAUACAUACCUAUCGGAAUCACUUCCCUGAACAUGGAAGAAUAUAAUUGUUUCCCAAAUAUUGCACUGCAGAAAACUCAGCCUCCAUCAAUGACAAAAUUGCUCAUUCUCUUGCAGGUUCUUAGCCAGGAAUCAACAGCUGGAUUAGAAUCAAAGAGAUGCAUGUCACGAACUGAUCUCAAACUUGUUGGAUCAUUUGCUGAUAUGAUUCUUAUUCCUGAUACUAGGGUUCCUGAUAAAAGAAGAACUUCUGCACUUUUUAUUUUGACAAAUCCUGGGCAGCUGAAUUUUUAUGAUGGUGGCUCUCUAUUUUCUGUGCAAAACUCAAAAGAGGGAAAUCCUCUUCCUGAAGCACAGAAAUUUCCAGUCGCAAUUCCUACCCUUGAUCCCAACAUAACGGUCACUGGUCUUUAUUCGCUAACCGAAAGUGAAUUUCCAAAUAUUUCAGUGAAGAAAUUUGAUGCUACGAAAAAUGUUGGGCAUUUCAUAUCAGAGAACAUGAAAUGGCCUUUGACUGGUGGGGUUCCAAAUGAGUUGUCACUGAACGAAGAUCAUGCUGUUGAAAGAAUAUAAAUUGAAGGCUACCAAGAUGGUUCUCUGAGAAUAUGGGAUGCAACAUUUCCUGUUCUAAUGCCAAAUUUUUUCUUGGUUGGAAAUGUCAGUCUCAUUUGUAUAUUUGUAGUAUUACUUGCAUUAUUCCUCAUUGGUUUAUAACUAACGGAUUAACCCCAAUCAAGCUGUAACUAUUCUUUACUAUAGGUUGCUGAUGUUAAUUUGGAUGGAGCUAAUGCUUUUGUAUCAUCUCUAGCCUUUUGUUCAUUAAGCAUGACUUUGGCUGUUGGGACAACAAGUGGUCUAGUUAGAUCUUGUUGGUCUUACGAAUUGGUCGAAAGGGUGGUCAUUUGUAUCAUUUUAGAAUAUGUUUUCAUACCAUUUUUUGUAGGUGCACAUCUAUAAACUCCGAGAACACACUGAGGGUUCAAGCUUCCAUUUUGUGAGUGUGAAUUUAAGCAAGAAGGCUCUUUCAAAUGGCAAGCCCACUGUUGUUGAGUUUUAUGCAAACUGGUGUGGGGUCUGCAGGGAACUAGCUUCAGAUAUCUACAAAGCUGAACAACAAUACAAAGACUGUGGAAUUGUGGGGUCCGUCCAUGCUGCCUGCUAGAAAUGGAAAAUGUGUUAGUAGUAGAAACAAGUGUUGUGGGCCUUUGAUCUUCUGGAAGUCAUGUGGUUGCAGUUCUACCGAUACUUGUUCUACUUGGGCAAAAUUAGGACAAUUCAGUUGGAGUACACUGAUGCUAAAGAAAGCCUCCUGCAAGCUGCUCGUAAGGCACCAACAACAGCCCAUGGUUUUCGGAUCCAGUGCAACAAAUGGGUUAUCAUAGUGAGGCUGCUGCUUGGUGAGAUUCCAGAGAGGGCUGUUUUCAUGCAGAAAGGAAUAAAUGCACUGAACCAUAUAAUGAUUAAAUAUGAUCUUUAUGGCAUAUCAUUCUUUAUUGUUUCUACUUUAUAGUCAUGUUUUUAUUAAUCAUUUAUAAGCACAUGCACAUUUGAGCUCGAUAUCAUUUAAGAAGAUGUGCCUUUACUGUUUUGCAUCAAUUUGUGUUGUUGAAGUUAGUUAUUACAAACAAUAUUAUGGCAACUGAACUGUUCUUACUGUUUUCCUCCACAUGUAGUAGUAAUCUAAUUGAACACUUCAUGCAUGUUCUGAAAUAUCAAUCUACUAUUUUACCUAAAUAUUUUAGGUUGGAACAGAACAAGACAUUGUGAUUUUCUUUAACUGUUUUGUAAGGAAUUAGUGAAGCAGGCUGAAUUAUGGAAUACUAUUUUGAUGAACACAGUGAAGCAGGCUAAGUUGUUGCGUGGCUCUGGUUCUGGUCUCAGGGAGUUACUUGGGAGGGGUUGGUCUCUCCGACUCCACUGUUGCUUUUUAGGCACUGCUUUUUUUCAAGCACACAUUGCUAUAGCUGAAACCUCCAUAAUUUCUUCACCAGUUUUCUUUAAUCUCUUGUUUCAAUUAUAGGUGUACACAUAAACUGAUUUUUCAUUUGCUUCUAUUACUAAAACUUAAUUUCACAAUCAGCCUUGUAGCACUUUGAGAUUCUGUUGUUUAUUUCUUGUAUUAGAUAUUCUUCUGAGUACUGGAAUAAGGUUAAUUUAUCAUUUUUCAUCAGUAACUUCCUAAGAGGCUGCUUCUUACAUACAAACCUGAAGAUUGAGAGGAAAUUCUUGAGCCUGCUCCUCUUGAAGAGGAAAUAGCACCAGUUGAAGAUCAUGUUCUUGUACCACCUGUUAAUGAAGUUGUUUCACCUCCUCCCAAGACUGAGGUGUCCUGAUACUGGUGACUUACUGGUUGGAAAAAUAACACAUUAAUAUUAUGGUCUAAAUCUUAUGUGCUUGAUUCUAAAAUCUGAAGUUGUGUUCCUGGUGUGGAAAUAAAGUUGUUGGGCUAUUUGUGUGGGGUGGGGGUUGGCAUGUUCGGAGCUGUUCCUGGUUGGAACCAGUGAUUUUGCUACUCAUUUUGACGGAUAAUUUGAGUUCGAAGUCGUCGAAUUUUGAAACAAGGGAGUGGGUUUACAUGUAAUGUUGGCAAACGGGGUCUGAAUUAUUAAUAAAGCCAGACUGUUUCGCU